UUCAUAUCAUGCAGCUGAUGUGUGCAUAUCCUCCCUCAACCACUAACUUUUCAUCACGAACCAAUUAAAAAUAAUAAUAAUAAAACGUCGUGGAAUAUUGCAGUUUAAAAGUAUUUUACACAUUAAAUUCCAUUAUUUUAUGGGCAACGCGAAUAAAGUGGGUGGUAUUUUUUUGCGGAAGAUUCCCAACGAAUUUGACUCGAACAUAUUAACAGAGCUGGGAUUAUCGCAGCUUUUGCAAAAAAAUAAUGGGGACACCAGCCCAAAAACGGUCUGCAGAACCAAACGAUGAAGAUAUCGAGGCCGGUAUCCCACUAAAUCCUGUCCCCCCGGAGGAGUCUCCCCCUCAAAAAUCCGACCCUUGCUCACCCACCCCUGCAGAUGAGCCCUUCAACGCCUUCCUCUUCGAAUGGAGGACACGUUUCUUCCUCUACACGGUCUACUUUCUCCUCGUACUUUCCCUCUCGUGGAAUUGUUUCUCCGUGACGGAAGGAUGCCUCACAGCGACUGGAAUUUUGACCCUGAUCAUCCUCCGUACUGUGGUCACGGACAAGUGUGACCCCGUCGAUGUCACGUUAACCCCAAAAUCAUCUGCAACAUGGCGGACCAAAUGUGGACAUUACUGCUCAUGGGUGACCUGCUGGGUCAUGACGCUUAUUGUCCUGGUUUCAUUCGCCUUCGUCAAUCUCGUCCAGAGCAGGAUUAUCGAUAGGGACAGAAUUUUGCAAAAUUGUGCACAAUGAGGCAAUAAUUGGCAAUAACUCUUCCCUGUUGGAGCAACUGAAUGACGCCCCCAGCAGGUGUUUAAUCCCUUGCGACGUGAUCUACUUCUACCCCAUGGCCCUCCUCUUGUUCGACCUAAUAUUUUGCUACACUGGACUUUUUCGCGUCUUAGCGAUCACCUUACACAGCAUUCUUGUCCCUGUUUGGACCCGACUCGUCAUAUUUUUAACUACUCCCCCGGCGUCAACUGUCUUCAAAGUGAUUGCCUUCUUAAUUUGGAUCUCUGCAAGUGUGACCCUGAUCGGAAUCUGUGCCCUCAUUUUGGCCCGAUUUGGAUUCGAGCAAGACAAAGGGCUAUGCAUUGUUAUGGUAGGCUGCAUAAUUUUUUGGGUUGUCGGGUUCCUAGUCCCGCUCCCGGGUUUGAUUUGUCCCCAGAGAAAUUUUCUCCUAAGCGCUGAACGUGUCGAAGAAGCGUGUUAAAUUGUCGUGACGCUAUUUUGUGCGGGCGCAUUUUUGAUGACGACAUUCGUGGCGUGGGCGGUUCGAACUUAUUCAGAUCGGGAAAAAACUUAUUACAGAGCUGUCAGUAUCUUCAACUUAACGGCGGAUCAAGAAACUGAUCAAGUUUUACUAAAGUUCGGGAGUGACGCCGAGUUCUGGGUUCUACUGGCGGGGUUCUCGCUAAUUUAUGCGGGAUGUUUUGCCCUGGCGAAUUUAAGCAAUUUGCGGAAAUCCAGGCUUACUUGGACCUUGGCGGCGGGGGCUUUUAUCAUCCCGCUCAUUCCCCUAUUGUUUACGUUGGGAGUGAUGGCGGGGAUUUAUAUUUGUGUAAUUAAAACGAUGUGUGUCACCUUGACAACCCUUCCCCAGUGCCAAGCAGACCUACUCCUGACAUUCCACUGUAUCGUUGGAGGGAUGGAAUCUGGCGAUUACAACAUCCACCACUCGGAUAUUGAGAAAUUCCAGGGGAAAUAAAUCGAAAUUUGUGUAGGGAAGUUCUGUAAAGAAGACACUUUUCACUUCUGCUAAUUACAUAUUUAUAUCUGUUAAAUAAUUGGUAUCGUUCUACACUUAAAAAUAAAGCUCUAUAUUGUGUUAUGUUAUCUACGUUUGCAAAAGUAUUUAAGUAAAACAGAGUAGAAUAGGUGGUUAAUUGAUAUUAUAUUGAAUA